CCACUACGCCAAGCUGCUCCUCUAAAGUUCGGACAUAUGUGGUAUUGGAUAGACAGCUCGUAUUUUCUUCUUUCAACGCCACGCCACACACGAGGACCCAGCCUGCUUUUUGAAGUGCACUAGGUGGUGGGGGCCCCGUGUCUGUGGGCCAGGAAUCCUGUCUCCCAGGACUCCGCUUUUCCUCCGGAGGACAUUCCGAUCGGAAUCGCUGUCGGUGGGAAUCGGAGGAGAGCCGGCGGUCCAAGUGUCAUCCAGGAAAUCCCCUAGACUCACAUUCCAGCCCCUCCCAGAAGAUACGUCUCAGGUACGUGCUGAACCUAGAGGCAGAUCAAAACACAAGCUGAGACUCUCUCUUUGACGGGCUGACCGGCCGACCGUCCGGUCGA
rnacentral:lncRNA from 1 species